rnacentral:rRNA from 1 species
CCUACGGGUGGCAGCAGUGAGGAAUAUUGGUCAAUGGCCGGAAGGCUGAACCAGCCAAGCCGCGUGAAGGACGAAGGUGCCAAGCAUUGUAAACUUCUUUUACAUGGGAAUAAAACAGGGUAUGCAUACCCUCUUGUAUGUAUCAUAUGAAUAAGGAUCGGCUAACUCCGUGCCAGCAGCCGCGGUAAUACGGAGGAUCCGAGCGUUAUCCGGAUUUAUUGGGUUUAAAGGGAGCGUAGGUGGAUUGUUAAGUCAGUUGUGAAAGUUUGCGGCUCAACCGUAAAAUUGCAGUUGAAACUGGCAGUCUUGAGUACAGUAGAGGUGAGCGGAAUUCGUAGUGUAGCGGUGAAAUGCUUAGAUAUCACGAAGAACUCCGAUUGCGAAGGCAGCUCACUGGACUGCAACUGACACUGAUGCUCGAAAGUGUGGGUAUCAAACAGGAUUAGAUACCCGUGUAGUC